CACCCCCGGGUCUCACCCCAGUGCCUGGAUGCUCACCCCUGGGGCCGGUUGAGACUGCAGCUCUCCCUUCCUGAGUCCACAUCGAAGGGAUCUGCAAAACACACUACGUGUUAUUUGCUACUGCCCCCAAUAGUACAAUAAAUGGUAAUAUUAAUUAAAAAAAAUAUAUAUAUAAUAAAAGCUUCCUAUCGAAAAUAUAUGUUUUGAACUGCACUGUACUAUUGCUUUGGCAGCCACAUCUUCUACAAUGAUAAUUCCUUUAUUUUAUGCUAGGUUUUGGUCCAAUCUGAGGCUUGUAUGUUAGUAUCCCUGGGUUACCAAAGAUUUUGGUCCAAUCUGAGGCUUGUAUGCUAGUAUCCCUGGGUUACCAGAGGUUUUGGUCCAAUCUGAGGCUUGUAUGUUAGUAUCCCUGGGUUACCAGAGGUUUUGGUCCAAUCUGAGGCUUGUAUGUUAGUAUCCCUGGGUUACCAGAGGUUUUGGUCCAAUCUGAGGCUUUUAUGUUAGUAUCCCUGGGUUACCAGAGGUUAUGGUCCAAUCUGAGGCUUGUAUAUGUUAGUAUCCCUGGGUUACCAGAGGUUAGGGUCCAAUCACCCAAGUGGGUGCUACAUAUUGGUGGUGGUUAGUGAGGUCCCCACUUCACUUUAGGCGUCUUUGAGUGUUAUUAAUUAUUUUUAUUCUUCAUGUUUAACCUCUGUUUUCCUUUUAUUCCUAGUCUGUUUUACAUAGUUUUGAAUGAUGACUAUAUGCUCUGUAAGGUGACCUUGGGUGUCUUGAAAGGCGCCUCUAAAUUAAAUGUAUUAUUAUUAUUAUUAUUAUUAUUAAUCUGAGGCUUGUAUGCG